AUAGAAAAAAUAACUGUAUAGUCAUUUUGUAUCAAAGUAAUUUGCAUACUAAAGUUAUCCUAUUUUUUUCGGGUAAACAAUCUUCUCGUUUGAAAUCGGUCCUCUCUUAUGCUAAAAUCUCACCCAAAUCGAAAUCCCUCAAAUCAAAAUGUGAAUCCCUAAUCUUCUCGUUUGAGUUGUCUCUAUUGACUCAAAGCUUCUUCAACUUCAAGUACUCAAGAACUUGUACACAGCUGGGGAAGUCGGCAAAGGGCAAGAAAAUAUAGAAGUGAAAUUUUAACAACUCAGGGACAAGGCACUUAAACAGUGGUUCAAGGAUGGUGUCAAGCAAGGAGCAGUUACAAGGCACUUAAUAUUUUAUCUUUUUUGGGAUAUGUAUAUGCGUACAAUUACAAUGCACAAUGAAGUGCCGGGUAGUAUAUAUGUAAUUGACUUUUUAGUAAUGAUCAUAUUUAUAAUAUUCGGCUUGAGAAAUU